CCUCCUUUCUUGGCAUGCUCGUGACCCAGUGCACGUGUGUGUAUGUGACGGAGGAACAUGAAAGUCCAGUGCUAUGUCUUCGGUGCCAGAAAAACAACCAUGUUCUGGUUCUAUCCUCAAUCUCUGGCACAUUG